rnacentral:rRNA from 1 species
GACGAACGCUGGCGGCGUGCUUAACACAUGCAAGUCGAACGGAAAGGCCCUGCUUUUGUGGGGUGCUCGAGUGGCGAACGGGUGAGUAACACGUGAGUAACCUGCCCUUGACUUUGGGAUAACUUCAGGAAACUGGGGCUAAUACCGGAUAGGAGCUCCUGCUGCAUGGUGGGGGUUGGAAAGUUUCGGCGGUUGGGGAUGGACUCGCGGCUUAUCAGCUUGUUGGUGGGGUAGUGGCUUACCAAGGCUUUGACGGGUAGCCGGCCUGAGAGGGUGACCGGCCACAUUGGGACUGAGAUACGGCCCAGACUCCUACGGGAGGCAGCAGUGGGGAAUAUUGCACAAUGGGCGGAAGCCUGAUGCAGCAACGCCGCGUGCGGGAUGACGGCCUUCGGGUUGUAAACCGCUUUCGCCUGUGACGAAGCGUGAGUGACGGUAAUGGGUAAAGAAGCACCGGCUAACUACGUGCCAGCAGCCGCGGUGAUACGUAGGGUGUGAGCGUUGUCCGGAUUUAUUGGGCGUAAAGGGCUCGUAGGUGGUUGAUCGCGUCGGAAGUGUAAUCUUGGGGCUUAACCCUGAGCGUGCUUUCGAUACGGGUUGACUUGAGGAAGGUAGGGGAGAAUGGAAUUCCUGGUGGAGCGGUGGAAUGCGCAGAUAUCAGGAGGAACACCAGUGGCGAAGGCGGUUCUCUGGGCCUUUCCUGACGCUGAGGAGCGAAAGCGUGGGGAGCGAACAGGCUUAGAUACCCUGGUAGUCCACGCUGUAAACGGUGGGUACUAGGUGUGGGGUCCAUUCCACGGGUUCCGUGCCGUAGCUAACGCUUUAAGUACCCCGCCUGGGGAGUACGGCCGCAAGGCUAAAACUCAAAGGAAUUGACGGGGCCCCGCACAAGCGGCGGAGCAUGCGGAUUAAUUCGAUGCAACGCGUAGAACCUUACCUGGGUUUGACAUGGAUCGGGAGUGCUCAGAGAUGGGUGUGCCUCUUUUGGGGUCGGUUCACAGGUGGUGCAUGGCUGUCGUCAGCUCGUGUCGUGAGAUGUUGGGUUAAGUCCCGCAACGAGCGCAACCCUUGUUCACUGUUGCCAGCACGUUAUGGUGGGGACUCAGUGGAGACCGCCGGGGUCAACUCGGAGGAAGGUGGGGAUGACGUCAAGUCAUCAUGCCCCUUAUGUCCAGGGCUUCACGCAUGCUACAAUGGCUGGUACAGAGAGUGGCGAGCCUGUGAGGGUGAGCGAAUCUCGGAAAGUCGGUCUCAGUUCGGAUUGGGGUCUGCAACUCGACCUCAUGAAGUCGGAGUCGCUAGUAAUCGCAGAUCAGCAACGCUGCGGUGAAUACGUUCCCGGGGCU